rnacentral:misc_RNA from 1 species
AACGCACAUUGCGCCCGCCAGUAUUCUGGCGGGCAUGCCUGUUCGAGCGUCAUUUCAACCAUCAAGCGCCUCGCUUGUGUUGGGGCCCUGCGGCUGCCGCAGGCCCCCAAAUCCAGUGGCGGGCUCGUCGUCGUACCGAGUGCAGUAAACAUCCUCGCUCAGGGAACCCGACGGGUGCCGGCCGUGAAACCCCCCCUCCUUAAGGUUGACCUCGGAUCAGGUAGGAAUACCCGCUGAACUUAA